AAAGAUUUCAGAUUUGAAGUAGGCUAAGUUACACUAAAAGUGCAUAAUUUCAAUACAGUUAAGUGCACUUCUUUUUCACAAGGGUAUCAGUACAACAACAAAAACAGUACAAAUCGAAUAUUUCCCUUAUUUUUCAAAGCAGGGUAACUGCACGUGACAGACUUCUGAUUCAUAUGUAAAAUAAACAACAAAAAGAAAAGUGCAGUAAAUAGUAAAACUGUUUGCGUUACAACCCAAUGUGUUUAUGAUAAUUAAAAUAACAUAAUGACAAAUACGGGUUUGCAACAUUAAGCAGCAUUACUGACUGUUUUUGUGUAGCCGAAAUAACUAAGCGGCUGACACCGGAAGUCUCGCACAUUCAACGUAAAAAUGGCCACACCCCCAAAAAAUUAGGUGAAAAGGAGAAUCUCAAAAAUCUGUUGGCGAGAGACCACUUCAUUUUUUUAUAAAAAUCUAAUGAAGUAAAACACUCUCACAGUUUUGGCUUUGUGUUUAUGUUUUGUAGAGUUGACGUUGUCUUGUUUACUGAGCAGAAGACCUCUAGAGGGAGCUGUGAGCCUAUUUACACACUCUUUUCCAUUGCGUGGCCAUUGGACUCCUACUUUUGGAGAAAAACUGUCUGUGUGCUGAAGAUAAUGGCUGAAAUUAUGAGCAUCGGCAGUUAAGUCGGGAAAGGACUUAAAAUUGUAUGUGUCUAAAUAAUGCUUUUAUUGUUGGAUGAUUUUUUUCC